rnacentral:rRNA from 2 species
GAGUUUGAUUCUGGCUCAGGAUGAACGCUGGCGGCGUGCUUAACACAUGCAAGUCGAGCGGAGUUUACAAUGGAAAGAUCUUCGGAAAUGGAAGCUGUAAACUUAGCGGCGGACGGGUGCGUAACGCGUGGGUAAUCUGCCCCUAUCAUCGGGAUAACACAUCGAAAGAUGUGCUAGUACCGAAUAACAUACUUUUUUGGCAUCAAGAGAGUAUCAAAGCGAAAGCGGAUAGGGAUGAGCCUGCGUCUGAUUAGCUAGUUGGUGGGGUAAAGGCCUACCAAGGCGACGAUCAGUAGCCGACCUGAGAGGGUGAUCGGCCACACUGGAACUGAGACACGGUCCAGACUCCUACGGGAGGCAGCAGUGGGGAAUAUUGCACAAUGGGCGCAAGCCUGAUGCAGCAACCGCCGCGUGAGCGAAGAAGGUCUUCGGAUCGUAAAGCUCUGUCGCCAUGGGAAGAUAAUGACGUUNCCAUNG